GUUUGAUUACGGUUCUAGACCAAAGACCACUACACAGCACUAUUCAAUACCCAUAUUCUUAAAUUCCAUUUUCCUUCUCCUUCCCUCUCUUGCUCUUUCCGUUUGAUAUUUGUAUUAAAUCGAUUUUUCUAUAGCUUCUCCCUUCUUUUUGAAAUCGCCAACUAUAAUUCCUCGGUUUAACUCAUUAAUGAUUAUUUUUUAAAAUUCAUCUUAAUUUUUUAUUGUAAUCUCUCAAAAAAAGGAGAAUCUGUGCUUGCAUGGACACCGAAAUGAAUCUUGAGAGGUGAAUCUGGCAGCAGAGGAAAUUCCAGCGGAGCUCGCAGAGCUAGUAAUGGGCAAGAGACGGGAUGCACCGUAAGGAUUGGCUUUCACCUGUUGCUGUAUGCUGACUGUUUGCUCUCUGUGUCAUUCUACUUUGGUGGUCGACUUAAUUGCAAUGAGAGGAAGCGCCUGUUUGGCUUGAUAAAUGAUCUUUCCACACUUUUUGAGGUUGUAACUGGAACGAAACCAGUAAAAGGCAAACGCAGAAUGGACAGUAGAAGCAAAUCCAGGAACAGCACAAUAGUAGAGCGAUUGAAGGACAAGUAAGAAAUACCAAGCUAUGAAAGCUUUGCAGAAGAUGAAUAUGAGCAUGGUGAGACCCUAUGUGGCAGCUGUGGAGGGGCGUACAGUGCUGAUAAAUUUUGGAUUUUGUUGUAACAUAUGUGAGCAGUGGUAGCAUGGGAAAUGUGUGAAAAUGCCAGCCAAGGCAGAAAUGAUCAAGCAGUACAUAUGCCCUGCUAGCAGCACCAAUAACCGAAGGCAGUAAGACUAACAACUGAAGAAAAAUGCUUCGCAAGGUGGUUAACCUCACUGUCCUGCACACACUGAUGUUAUCGUUAAAUCACAGAUAGUUACACCCUUCUAAGUUUCCUUGUUCCUUCCACUUGGUUUACAUGCCCCAGUAAGUGGCUGAAGCCUCUACAAAGAAUGUGAAUUAAUUCUUAAUGUUUUAGCAGAGAAGGGAGGGAUUGGAGGAGGCCUCUACCAGUAGCCAAAGCACCACAGACUUUGUUUCUGCUACCAGCAAAGCCAGACCAAAGUUGCUUUUCUUUAGGUAUAUAUGUCAUAUACAAAUUUCGGAAAAUUAAGAAAUCCAAGUCCAAUGCUCACGUAUCUUUUUA